CCUACGGGAGGCUGCAGUAGGGAAUAUUGCACAAUGGGGGAAACCCUGAAGCAGCAACGCCGCGUGGAGGAUGAAGGUUUUAGGAUCGUAAACUCCUUUUGUGAGAGAAGAAAAUGACGGUAUCUCACGAAUAAGCACCGGCUAACUCCGUGCCAGCAGCCGCGGUAAUACGGAGGGUGCAAGCGGUACCCGGAAUCACUGGGCGUAAAGAGGGCGCAGGCGGGGUUGUAAGGCGGAUGUGAAAGCCUGUAGCCAAAACACAGGACUGCAUUUGAAACUAGUGGUCUAGAGUGUGGGAGGGGUAGGUGGAAUUCUUGGUGUAGGGGUAAAAUCCGUAGAUAUCAAGAGGAAUACUCAGUGCGAAGGCGACCUACUGGAACCUUACUGACGCUCAUGCACGAAAGCGUGGGGAGCAAACAGGAUUAGAUACCCAGUAGUC
rnacentral:rRNA from 1 species